GACGAACGCUGGCGGCGUGCUUAACACAUGCAAGUCGAACGGCAACGCCCUGCUUUCGUGGGGUUCUCGAGUGGCGAACGGGUGCGUAUCACGUGUGUAACCUGACCUUGACUUUGGUAUAACUUCAGGUAACUGGGGCUAAUACCGGAUAGGAGCUCCUGCUGCAGGGUGGGGGUGGGAACGUUUCGGCGGGUGGGGAUGGACUCGCGGCUGAUCAGCUUGUUGGUGGGGGAGUUGCUUGCCAAGGAUUUGACGGGUAGCCGGCAUGAGAGGGUGGCCGGCCACAAUGGUACUAAGAUACGGACCAGACUGCUACGGGGGGCAGCAGGGGGGAACAUUGCCCAACGGGCGGGCGCCUGAUGCAGAGGCGCCCCGUGCGGGAUGACGGCCUUUGGGUUGUGAACAGCUUUCGCCUGUGACGCAGCGGGAGUGACGGUAAUGAAUAAAGAAGCACCGGCUAACUACGUG
rnacentral:rRNA from 1 species